rnacentral:rRNA from 1 species
AUACGUAGGGGGCAAGCGUUGUCCGGAAUUAUUGGGCGUAAAGCGCGCGCAGGCGGUCUCUUAAGUCUGAUGUGAAAUCUCGCGGCUCAACCGCGAGCGGUCAUUGGAAACUGGGGGACUUGAGUGUAGGAGAGGAAAGUGGAAUUCCACGUGUAGCGGUGAAAUGCGUAGAGAUGUGGAGGAACACCAGUGACGAAGGCGACUUUCUGGCCUAUAACUGACGCUGAGGCGCGAAAGCGUGGGGAGCAAACAGGAUUAGAUACCCUGGUAGUCCACACCGUAAACGAUGAGUGCUAGGUGUUAGGGGUUUCGAUACCCUUAGUGCCGGCGUUAACACAUUAAGCACUCCGCCUGGGGAGUACGGCCGCAAGGCUGAA